rnacentral:misc_RNA from 1 species
GAUGAAGAACGUAGCGAAAUGCGAUAAUUAAUGUGAAUUGCAGAAUUCAGUGAAUCAUCGAGUCUUUGAACGCACAUUGCGCCCCCUGGUAUUCCGGGGGGCAUGCCUGUCCGAGCGUCAUUGCUGCCCUCAAGCACGGCUUGUGUGUUGGGCUUCCGUCCCUGGCAACGGGGACGGGCCCAAAAGGCAGUGGCGGCACCAUGUCUGGUCCUCGAGCGUAUGGGGCUUUGUCACCCGCUCCCGUAGGUCCAGCUGGCAGCUAGCCUUGCAACCAAUCUUUUUAACCAGGUUGACCUCGGAUCAGGUAGGGAUACCCGCUGAACUUAAGCAUAUCAAUAAGCGGAGGA